AGUGAACGCUGGCGGUAGGCCUAACACAUGCAAGUCGAACGGCAGCACAGUAAGAGCUUGCUCUUACGGGUGGCGAGUGGCGGACGGGUGAGGAAUACAUCGGAAUCUACUUUUUCGUGGGGGAUAACGUAGGGAAACUUACGCUAAUACCGCAUACGACCUACGGGUGAAAGCAGGGGAUCUUCUGACCUUGCGCGAUUGAAUGAGCCGAUGUCGGAUUAGCUAGUUGGCGGGGUAAAGGCCCACCAGGGCGACGAUCCGUAGCUGGUCUGAGAGGAUGAUCAGCCACACUGGAACUGAGACACGGUCCAGACUCCUACGGGAGGCAGCAGUGGGGAAUAUUGGACAAUGGGCGCAAGCCUGAUCCAGCCAUACCGCGUGGGUGAAGAAGGCCUUCGGGUUGUAAAGCCCUUUUGUUGGGAGAGAAAAGCAGCAGGUUAAUACCCCGCUGUUCUGACGGUACCCAAAGAAUAAGCACCGGCUAACUUCGUG
rnacentral:rRNA from 1 species